rnacentral:rRNA from 1 species
CCUACGGGAGGCAGCAGUGAGGAAUAUUGGUCAAUGGACGAGAGACUGAACCAGCCAAGUAGCGUGAAGGAUGAAUGCCCUAGGGGUGGUAAACUCCUUUUAUAAAGGAAUAAAACGAGGCACGUGUGCCUUUUUGCAUGUACUUUAUGAAUAAGGAUCGGCUAACUCCGUGCCAGCAGCCGCGGUAAUACGGAGGAUCCGAGCGUUAUCCGGAUUGAUUUGGGUUAAAGGGAGCGUAGAUGGGUUGUUAAGUCAGGUGUGAAAGUUCUCGGCUCAACCGUGAAAUUGCAACUGAUACGGGCCGUCUUGAGUCCAGUUGAGGUAGGCUGAAUUCGUGGUGUAGCGGUGAAAUGCUUAGAUAUCACGAAGAACCCCGAUUGCGAAGGCAGCUUACUAAACUGUGACUGACAUUGAUGCUCGAAAGUGUGGGUAUCAAACAGGAUUAGAUACCCCAGUAGUC